rnacentral:tRNA from 1 species
GCUUUUAUAAUUUAAUGAAAAUAUUGGUCUUGUAAACCAAUCUUAAGGUUUACCUUUAUAAGCU